AAUAGAUACCCGGGUAGUCCAUGCCGUAAACGUUGGGCGCUAGGUGUGGGACCCAUUCCACGGGUUCCGUGCCGCAGCUAACGCAUUAAGCGCCCCGCCUGGGGAGUACGGCCGCAAGGCUAAAACUCAAAGGAAUUGACGGGGGCCCGCACAAGCGGCGGAGCAUGCGGAUUAACUCGAUGCAACGCGAAGAACCUUACCAAGGCUUGACAUACACCGGAAUCACUCAGAGAUGGGUGCAUCUUCGGACUGGUGUACAGGUGGUGCAUGGUUGUCGUCAGCUCGUGUCGUGAGAUGUUGGGUUAAGUCCCGCAACGAGCGCAACCCUCGUUCUAUGUUGCCAGCACGUGAUGGUGGGGACUCAUAGGAGACUGCCGGGGUCAACUCGGAGGAAGGUGGGGAUGACGUCAAAUCAUCAUGCCCCUUAUGUCUUGGGCUUCACGCAUGCUACAAUGGCCGGUACAAAGGGCUGCGAAACCGUAAGGUGGAGCGAAUCCCAAAAAACCGGUCUCAGUUCGGAUUGGGGUCUGC
rnacentral:rRNA from 1 species